rnacentral:rRNA from 1 species
GGCGUGCACUGGUCUCGGCCGUGCUUUCCUCUCGGGCCGCCCGGGAGCGCUUAAUUGUGCGCUCGGGACGGGCCGGGACUUUUACUUUGAAAAAUUAGAGUGUUCAAAGCAGCAUUUGCUCGGAUACAUUAGCAUGGAAUAAUUGAAUAGGACGUCGAUCCUAUUUUGUUGGUUUCUAGGACCGCCGUAAUGAUCAUAGGGAUAGUUGGGGCAUAGUAUUCAAUUGUCAGAGGUGAAAUUCUUGGAUUUAUUGAAGACUAACUAGUGCGAAAGCAUUUGCCAAGGAUGUUUUCAUUAAUCAAGAACGAAAGUUAGGGGAUCGAAGACGAUUAGAUACCGUCGUAGUCUUAACCAUAAACUAUGCCGACUAGGGAUCGGGCGCAGUUUCAAUCGACUCGCUCGGCACCUCGAGAGAAAUCAAAGUUUUUGGGUUCUGGGGGGAGUAUGGUCGCAAGGCUGAAACUUAAAGGAAUUGACGGAAGGGCACCACCAGGAGUGGAGCCUGCGGCUUAAUUUGACUCAACACGGGGAAACUCACCAGGUCCAGACACAGUAAGGAUUGACAGAUUGAGAGCUCUUUCUUGAUUCUGUGAUUGGUGGUGCAUGGCCGUUCUUAGUUGGUGGAGUGAUUUGUCUGCCUAAUCGCGAUAACGAACGAGACCCUUACCUGCUAAAUAGUCGACUCGGCCUUGGCCGGGACCUUUUGGUUAUGACUUCUUAGAGGGACUGGAGG